rnacentral:rRNA from 1 species
GACGAACGCUUGCGGCGCGCCUAACACAUGCAAGUCAAACGAGCGAGAGAGAGCUUGCUUUCUCGAGCGAGUGGCGAACGGGUGAGUAACGCGUGAGGAACCUGCCUCAGAGAGGGGGACAACAGUUGGAAACGACUGCUAAUACCGCAUAAGCCCGCGGGUCGGCAUCGACCAGAGGGAAAAGGAGCAAUCCGCUUUGAGAUGGCCUCGCGUCCGAUUAGCUAGUUGGUGAGGUAACGGCCCACCAAGGCGACGAUCGGUAGCCGGACUGAGAGGUUGAACGGCCACGUUGGGACUGAGACACGGCCCACACUCCUACGGGAGGCAGCAGUGGGGAAUAUUGCACAAUGGGGGGAAACCCUGAUGCAGCGACGCCGCGUGGAGGAAGAAGGUCUUCGGAUUGUAAACUCCUGUUUGUUGAGGAAGAUAAUGACGGUACUCAACAAGGAAGUGACGGCUAACUACGUGCCAGCAGCCGCGGUAAAACGUAGGUCACAAGCGUUGUCCGGAAUUACUGGGUGUAAAGGGAGCGCAGGCGGGAAGACAAGUUGGAAGUGAAAUCCAUGGGCUCAACCCAUGAACUGCUUUCAAAACUGUUUUUCUUGAGUAGUGCAGAGGUAGGCGGAAUUCCCGGUGUAGCGGUGGAAUGCGUAGAUAUCGGGAGGAACACCAGUGGCGAAGGCGGCCUACUGGGCACCAACUGACGCUGAGGCUCGAAAGUGUGGGUAGCAAACAGGAUUAGAUACCCUGGUAGUCCACACCGUAAACGAUGAUUACUAGGUGUUGGAGGAUUGACCCCUUCAGUGCCGCAGUUAACACAAUAAGUAAUCCACCUGGGGAGUACGACCGCAAGGUUGAAACUCAAAGGAAUUGACGGGGGCCCGCACAAGCAGUGGAGUAUGUGGUUUAAUUCGACGCAACGCGAAGAACCUUACCAAGUCUUGACAUCCCUUGACGAUGCUGGAAACAGUAUUUCUCUUCGGAGCAAGGAGACAGGUGGUGCAUGGUUGUCGUCAGCUCGUGUCGUGAGAUGUUGGGUUAAGUCCCGCAACGAGCGCAACCCUUAUGGUCAGUUACUACGCAAGAGGACUCUGGCCAGACUGCCGUUGACAAAACGGAGGAAGGUGGGGAUGACGUCAAAUCAUCAUGCCCUUUAUGACUUGGGCUACACACGUACUACAAUGGCGUUAAACAAAGAGAAGCAAGACCGCGAGGUGGAGCAAAACUCAGAAACAACGUCCCAGUUCGGACUGCAGGCUGCAACUCGCCUGCACGAAGUCGGAAUUGCUAGUAAUCGUGGAUCAGCAUGCCACGGUGAAUACGUUCCCGGGCCUUGCACA